UACGGAGGAGGCAAGCGUUAUCCGGAAUUAUUGGGCGUAAAGCGUCCGCAGGUGGCACUUCAAGUCUGUCGUCAAAGACUGGGGCUUAACCCUGGAAAGGCGGUGGAAACUGAAGCGCUAGAGUGCGGUAGGGGUAGAGGGAAUUCCCGGUGUAGCGGUGAAAUGCGUAGAGAUCGGGAAGAACAUCGGUGGCGAAAGCGCUCUACUGGACCGCAACUGACACUCAGGUACGAAAGCUAGGGGAGCGAAUGGG
rnacentral:rRNA from 1 species